AUUGCAAAAUGGGCGAAAGCCCGAUGCAGCAACGCCGCGUGGGCGAUGAAGGCCUUCGGGUCGUAAAGCCCUUUUUGAGGGGAUGAGGAAGGACAGUACCCUCAGAAUAAGCCUCGGCUAACUACGUGCCAGCAGCCGCGGUAAAACGUAGGAGGCGAGCGUUAUCCGGAUUUACUGGGCGUAAAGCGCGUGCAGGCGGAUUGGAGAGUUGGAUGUGAAAGCUCCCGGCUUAACUGGGAAAGGUCGUUCAAUACUUCCAGUCUUGAGUGCAGUAGAGGGAAGUGGAAUUCCAGGUGUUGUGGUGAAAUGCGUAGAUAUCCGGAGGAACACCAGUGGCGAAGGCGGCUUCCUGGACUGUAACUGACGCUCAGACGCGAAAGCUAGGGUAGCAAACG
rnacentral:rRNA from 1 species